UGAAAAAUAAUGUUUACUAUUAAACACUCAAUUUGCAGUUAAAGGCAUUUCAUUAUUGAAUUCAGUGAUGUCAUUGUCCAGCUCAGUUCAGUUUAUAUAGUAUCUGU